GACCCUUACACGUUCGUCAGUAGGCAGCCUUCAGCAGACAACAUCUGCAGGAUGAGCCGGUUUUCGGUGACUUUAAUCUGGGACUUGUACCAGAUCCUAAAAAAGUGCAAGCUGUGACAAAAUGAGCAGAAGAGCCGGUUCACGAAAAUGUCCACGUGUUGUCCUGAGCGUGGGAGGUUCCUGAGAGACUUGCAAGUAGAUGUGAGUUUGCCGACACUGCUCAUCACUGGGAAAGCCAGAAGAGACUUGAGAAAAUCAUUCCGAUAAGCAGGAAGAAAGGGCGUGGACACACAAAACUGUCUGAAUGUCUCCUUUACCAGGAAGAUAUUGGGCAGUUUGCAGGUCUGCGCUGAGCGUUAUCAGCCUUAGAUCUACCGUGAUGCACUUUCUGGCACUGAUGAGCCUUCUUUUCAAGAUGACUUGCUCACGUACCCACCAUUCCUUGCAAGUCCUUGGAGAAGAUGUAAGCUAUUGACAAAUACAUGUGUGGGCUCUGAUGACGGGUUU